rnacentral:rRNA from 1 species
CAGCAGCAGCCGCGGGAAUACGUAGGGUGCAAGCGUUAAUCGGAAUUACUGGGCGUAAAGCGUGCGCAGGCGGUUUUGUAAGACAGAGGUGAAAUCCCCGGGCUCAACCUGGGAACUGCCUUUGUGACUGCAAGGCUAGAGUACGGCAGAGGGGGAUGGAAUUCCGCGUGUAGCAGUGAAAUGCGUAGAUAUGCGGAGGAACACCGAUGGCGAAGGCAAUCCCCUGGGCCUGUACUGACGCUCAUGCACGAAAGCGUGGGGAGCAAACAGGAUUAGAUACCCCAGUAGUCCCUGUCUCUUAUAC